rnacentral:rRNA from 1 species
AUUGAACGCUAGCGGCAGGCUUAAUACAUGCAAGUCGAGGGGUAGCAAGAUUGUAGCAAUACAAUUGUUGACGACCGGCAAACGGGUGCGGAACACGCACACAACCUUCCUACAAGUGGGGAAUAGCCCAGAGAAAUUUGGAUUAAUACCCCGUAACAUAGCGAUGUGGCAUCACAUUGCUAUUAUAGCUUCGGCGCUUGUUGAUGGGUGUGCGGCUGAUUAGAUAGUUGGCGGGGUAACGGCCCACCAAGUCUACGAUCAGUAGCUGAUGUGAGAGCAUGAUCAGCCACACGGGCACUGGGACACGGGCCCGACUCCUACGGGAGGCAGCAGUAAGGAAUAUUGGACAAUGGACGCAAGUCUGAUCCAGCCAUGCCGCGUGAAGGAUUAAGGUCCUCUGGAUUGUAAACUUCUUUUAUAAGGGACAAAAAAAGGUCUUUCUAGAUCGUCUGACGGUACCUUAUGAAUAAGCACCGGCUAACUCCGUGCCAGCAGCCGCCGUAACAC